rnacentral:SRP_RNA from 1 species
CGCGCCUGUAGUCCCAGCUACUCGGGAGGCUGAGGCAGGAGGAUCGCUUGAGCCCAGGAGUUCUGGGCUGUAGUGUGCUAUGCCGAUCGGGUGUCCGCACUAAGUUCGGCAUCAAUAUGGUGACCUCCCGGGAGCGGGGGGCCACCAGGUUGCCUAAGGAGGGGUGAACCGGCCCAGGUCGGAAACGGAGCAGGUCAAAACUCCCGUGCUGAUCAGUAGUGGGAUCGCGCCUGUGAAUAGCUACUGCGCUCCAGCCUGGG